rnacentral:rRNA from 1 species
UAAAUUUGGCUCUAGUUUGAAAAUAAAUUUUUUAUACAAAUAACACAUGCAAACACAAUUUAAUUAUUGUGUGUACGGGUGAGUUAAAAAAAUUGAAUUAAUAUUCAAUUUUAGAUAUUAUGGAUAAUUUUGAAUAAAUUUUCGAAGAUAUUAAGGUGUUAACCCACAUCAGAAUUUUCUGAGUUUAUAUUUAUAAUCCAGCAGUGUAAAACAUUAGACAAUAAGUAUAGGCUUGAUCUAGUGAUAUAAAAAAAAGUUUAAGUAUUUAUUUUAAAUUUUUUUAUUAAUUUUAUAAUGAAUGAUUAAUAAAAGUUCAAUCUAAUUAUGUGCCAGCAGAUGCGGUGAAACAUAAUGAGCAAAUUUAUUUUAUUAAAUAGGUUUAAAUUAUACAAAAGUGGUUUUGUUUAUUUUUUUUUAAAUUUUGAAAUUUAAUUUAAUAAAAUAAAACUAGAAAAUAAUUAAUAUCAAAAAUUAAUAAUUUAGGUAAUAGUAAAAUGUUUUAAUCUAAAUUCGAAAACUAAAAGUUAUUCUUUUUUGAUUCUUAUUUUGACACUGUCGUAUGAAAGCUUGGGGAUCAAAAAAGAUUAGACACCUUCGUAGUCCAAGCUGUCAAUAAAGGUUUUUUAUAAAUAUCCUUUUAUUUAUAUCUUGAAAAAAUUAAAACUAACCUGAAGAGUACGAUCACACGAUUGAAAUUCAAAGAGCUUGACGGAAUUUAAGACCAAUUGUGGCACAUGUUGUUUAAUGUGAUACGACACGUUUAUUUUAUCAAAAUUUUUAUUUAUUAAAAAGGUGUUGCGGGGUUGUCCAAAUUUUCUAUAUUAAUUACUAAGAUUAAAUGUUUUAAAGUACAAUAAUGCAAAUUUUCCUGGCCCUUAUAUUUUGAGAUAAGACUUGUGACAUUAAUUCAUAACGAAUUAUAAUUUGGUUAGUAUUGAAAAAUAUUAACUAAAUCGGAAUAAUUAGUAAAAUAAAACAAUUAUUGUUUAUUUGAAAAUUCGGCUUAAAUUUGUACACACUGCUCGUCACAUGUCGAAAUUUAUUUAUAUCUUAAAUAUUAAUUACUAAAUUUUAUAUUUAUUAAAAUUUUUCUAUUAAUCUGAAUUCUAUAAAUAAUGAUUGAGAUGAAGUCGAAACAUGGUGGUUGUAGUGGAAGCUGCAGCUGAGUUUUUUAAAAA